rnacentral:rRNA from 1 species
GACGAACGCUGGCGGCGUGCCUAAUACAUGCAAGUUGAGCGAUGAAGAUUGGUGCUUGCACCAAUUUGAAGAGCAGCGAACGGGUGAGUAACGCGUGGGGAAUCUGCCUUUGAGCGGGGGACAACAUUUGGAAACGAAUGCUAAUACCGCAUAACAACUUUAAACAUAAGUUUUAAGUUUGAAAGAUGCAAUUGCAUCACUCAAAGAUGAUCCCGCGUUGUAUUAGCUAGUUGGUGAGGUAAAGGAUCACCAAGGCGAUGAUACAUAGCCGACCUGAGAGGGUGAUCGGCCACAUUGGGACUGAGACACGGCCCAAACUCCUACGGGAGGCAGCAGUAGGGAAUCUUCGGCAAUGGACGAAAGUCUGACCGAGCAACGCCGCGUGAGUGAAGAAGGUUGUCGGAUCGUAAAACUCUGUUGGUAGAGAAGAACGUUGGUGAGAGUGGAAAGCUCAUCAAGUGACGGUAACUACCCAGAAAGGGACGGCUAACUACGUG